AGCCUGCCCAGUGACAAAGUUCAACGGCCGCGGUACCCUAACCGUGCGAAGGUAGCAUAAUCACUUGUUCUCUAAAUAAGGACUUGUAUCAACGGCACUACGAGGGUUAUACUGUCUCCUUUUUCCAAUCAGUGAAACUGAUCUCCCCGUGAAGAAGCGGGGAUCAAAAUAUAAGACGAGAAGACCCCAUGGAGCUUUAAACUCACUGUACACCUCUAUGUUCCUAUAUCCUUAUAACACAAGAAACCUGUACAUUAGUUUUAGGUUGGGGGGACCACGGAGUACAACUUAACCUCCAUAACAAAUGGGCUGACACCCUUAUCCACGAGACACAACUCUAAGAAUUAAUAGACUAAUGCUUAUGACCCGAUAUUCGAUCAAUGAACCAAGUUACCCUGGGGAUAACAGCGCAAUCUACUUCAAGAGCCCAUAUCGACAAGUAGGUUUACGACCUCGAUGUUGGAUCAGGGUAUCCCGGUGGUGCAACCGCUACCAAUGGUUCGUUUGUUCAACGAUCAAAACCCUACGU
rnacentral:rRNA from 1 species